CCUACGGGGGGCUGCAGUGGGGAAUAUUGGACAAUGGGGGGAACCCUGAUCCAGCCAUGCCGCGUGUGUGAAGAAGGCCCUCGGGUUGUAAAGCACUUUCAGUGAGGAAGAACGCCUGGUGGUUAAUACCCAUCAGGAAAGACAUCACUCACAGAAGAAGCACCGGCUAACUCCGUGCCAGCAGCCGCGGUAAUACGGAGGGUGCGAGCGUUAAUCGGAAUUACUGGGCGUAAAGCGCGCGUAGGUGGCUUGAUAAGCCGGUUGUGAAAGCCCCGGGCUCAACCUGGGAACGGCAUCCGGAACUGUCAAGCUAGAGUGCAGGAGAGGAAGGUAGAAUUCCCGGUGUAGCGGUGAAAUGCGUAGAGAUCGGGAGGAAUACCAGUGGCGAAGGCGGCCUUCUGGACUGACACUGACACUGAGGUGGGAAAGCGUGGGUAGCAAACAGGAUUAGAUACCCGGGUAGUC
rnacentral:rRNA from 1 species